UGGGGAAUUUUCCGCAAUGGGCGAAAGCCUGACGGAGCAAUACCGCGUGAGGGAUGACGGCCUAUGGGUUGUAAACCUCUUUUUUCAGGGAGGAAUAAAUGACGUGUACCUGAAGAAUAAGCAUCGGCUAACUCCGUGCCAGCAGCCGCGGUAAGACGGAGGAUGCAAGUGUUAUCCGGAAUCACUGGGCGUAAAGCGUCUGUAGGUGGUUUAAUAAGUCAACUGUUAAAUCUUAAGGCUCAACCUUGAAAUCGCAGUCGAAACUAUUAGACUAGAGUAUAGUAGGGGUAAAGGGAAUUUCCAGUGGAGCGGUGAAAUGCGUAGAUAUUGGAAAGAACACCGAUGGCGAAGGCACUUUACUGGGCUAUUACUAACACUCAGAGACGAAAGCUAGGGUAGCAAAUGGGAUUAGAUACCCCUGUAGUC
rnacentral:rRNA from 1 species